rnacentral:rRNA from 1 species
GAUGAACGCUGGCGGCGUGCUUAACACAUGCAAGUCGAACGAAGCACUUUAUUUGAUUUCCUUCGGGACUGAUUAUUUUGUGACUGAGUGGCGGACGGGUGAGUAACGCGUGGGUAACCUGCCUUGUACAGGGGGAUAACAGUUGGAAACGGCUGCUAAUACCGCAUAAGCGCACAGCAUCGCAUGAUGCAGUGUGAAAAACUCCGGUGGUAUAAGAUGGACCCGCGUUGGAUUAGCUAGUUGGUGAGGUAACGGCCCACCAAGGCGACGAUCCAUAGCCGACCUGAGAGGGUGACCGGCCACAUUGGGACUGAGACACGGCCCAAACUCCUACGGGAGGCAGCAGUGGGGAAUAUUGCACAAUGGGCGAAAGCCUGAUGCAGCGACGCCGCGUGAGCGAAGAAGUAUUUCGGUAUGUAAAGCUCUAUCAGCAGGG